rnacentral:rRNA from 1 species
UACGUAGGGGGCGAGCGUUGUCCGGAAUUAUUGGGCGUAAAGCGCGCGCAGGCGGCUUCUUAAGUCUGAUGUGAAAGCCCGCGGCUCAACCGCGGAGGGUCAUUGGAAACUGGGAGGCUUGAGGACAGAAGAGGAGAGUGGAAUUCCACGUGUAGCGGUGAAAUGCGUAGAUAUGUGGAGGAACACCAGUGGCGAAAGCGGCUCUCUGGUCUGUAACUGACGCUGAGGCGCGAAAGCGUGGGGAGCAAACAGG